rnacentral:rRNA from 1 species
GACGAACCGUGCGAACGUUGUUCGGAAUCACUGGGCUUAAAGGGCGCGUAGGCGGGCUCGCAAGUCCGGGGUGAAAGCCCCCAGCUCAACUGGGGAAGUGCCUUGGAUACUGCGGGCCUCGAGGGAGGUAGGGGCGUGCGGAACUUCCGGUGGAGCGGUGAAAUGCGUAGAUAUCGGAAGGAACACCGGUGGCGAAAGCGGCGCGCUGGACCUCUUCUGACGCUGAGGCGCGAAAGCCAGGGGAGCAAACGGG